GAGCGUAUAGCUCAGUGGUAGAGUGUGUGCUUAGCAUGCAUGAGGUCCUGGGUCCAAUCCCCAGUACCUCCA
rnacentral:tRNA from 1 species